GGGACGCUUCCCGCCUUUUCUUUCUCUUCAAGUCAUCUUUCCCCUGAAAUGGCUCCUGGGCGAGUGCGAUGGAAAGAAAACGGACAUAUCCGUCUAGGGAGCAAAAAGACAACAACACAAAUGAACAAUCUUCUUCAAGGUAACAGUUUAAAAUAGAUCAAAAAGUUAACUGUUUUUAGACUGUGAAUAUGACCUCCCCCACAUGGCGCACGCGCACCAGGAGUGGGGAACCCUGCCCUCAAGAUAGCAGUUUAAAUAGAUUAACACGUGUAACGACGACGACGGUGGAUAAACGGAUCAAGAAGGCUUUAUGGAAUUGUCUUUUAUUCUUCGGAACCUCAACAGAAACAAAUUCAACUUCCUGAACCCUGGAGGCUUCUGCCAAUACCCAUUGCAGUUUCAAAUAUAAAUUUCACUGAUAUCACAAAGGAUAGAAGCCUUUUAUUUUUAAAAAACAAGAAAAGUUGAAAUCCUCAAGAACACUAAUUCUGCAAAGUUUUUAGGUUUUGGAAACUCUUGGGCAAGUGGACCAACUGUCUCUGAAUCGGGCCGUCUCUUCUUUAACCCUGCCACUGCUGCCCAUUUGCUUCCCCACUUUCAGCCCAAUCCACUCAGCAACUAGGAGGAGGAGUGCAAAGCAAGUUGGGUGUGCUGCUCUAUAUCCUCACUUAAUGUAGUUAGUUGUACACUCAUUGAAGGCAGCAGCAUCAAGGGGCAAAAGCAGCAGAGCCAGAAAGUUCUUGAUCAGCAAACAUCCUCUUCAGGAAUGUGGCCCUUGGCAAGAGCCUGACAAUGCUAACUUGGCCUCCCCAGACUUCUUUAUCCGCACCUGGUAAACAACAACCUAUUGCGUGAGUCUUCUGCAAUUAUACUUCGAAGUUGAGCAUAUAUAACACAGCAGACUGAGUGAAUUGCUUUGGAAGGAAACUGGGUUUUGUACAGCAAACUGACACCUGCCAUUUUUACAAGAUAUCAGUUCGAUUUGAGGAGUUCUACAGGUGGAACUAUGGGACGCAGGUGGCGUUGUGGUCCAAACCACAGAGCCUAGGGCUUGCCGAUCAGAAGAAGUGCUGCCACAACUCACAGAAAAAGAACAAUACUGAAAAAGAACUGAGUACUCCCUAUGACACAGCUGCCACAAUCUAGCAAGUUACUUCUUGAUAGGAAGACAGAGACAAACAAGAGAGAGAAAUAUGUAUUGCAGGUAAUUCCUGAAGAAUGGAGACACCCUGUACCUGUACAGAAGAAGUCCCUUUGUGAUAUGCGAAGUGCUCCUAUACAUGCUGAAAUCUGAAGUGUGAUUCUUCUCAAAUCUUUAAUUUCAAAUAAAUACAAAGACCUAAGGCUUUAAAAAGUGGAUGACAUCAUUAAAUAAAGAUCAAGCUAUUUCAUUAUAAAUUCCCCAAAGAGAUAAAUCAUUGUUAGUUUACAGAAAGCAUUUCCUUCCUAAUGUCAAUGUCCUUCAUGGUUUUGCUCCCAUAGGAAAAUUUACUUUGUCCAGGGAAAAAAUGACAAAAUGAAACAGCCUGUUAUUGUGCCUCAGUUUAGCCUUGACCAGCUUUAAAUAUAUCCUCUUAAAUAUGUUGCCCAAACUUCAUCUGCUAUGUUCUUCUACCAAACACUGGAAAGUGCCUUACUGCUCAAACAAGUGGACAUUUAUGUGGCAAACAACUAGACAAGUAUCACAAUAGCAUCCCACAUGUCACAUACAUUUAAAAGAAAAAUGGUACCUUCAUUUAUAUUUAAAAGCAGCUUCAUUUUGGCUGCAAUUGAGCUCUAGCAUGAUGUAACAAGAGGUAUAAUAGCUUAGCAGUUGUAUCAGUGUGGCUUACAAUCUCCAAUUAAUAUACAGCAUUCAUAUUAAUGUUCAUUAAUUGCAUGUACGAAUGCAAAUUUUAAGAAUUUUUGACCAUCAAGCAGGACUCAAACACAACAUCAUUCUCCCACAUAAGAUUCCCUGUAACUGGUAUUCAAAGGCAGAUUGCCUUCAACAAUGGAGGCAGAAAAUACUCAUUGUAGCUAGUAGCCCUUGAUAGCUUUAUCUUCCAUGGAUAUGUCUAACUAGCUUUCAACACCAUCCAAGUUGGUAGCCAUCAUUACCUCUCAAAGUGAAUCCCAUGGUUUUACUACGCACUAUGUGGCGGCGACUGGCAGUGUGUGGUGGAGGCAGGGGGCCAUAGGAGUUUAUUGGGUUUGGCACCAGGAGAGGGAUCCAGUGAUUUAUGGGGUUUGGCACCGCCCAUAAGGUAGAAGCCAGGCCAAAUGGAGGAAGAAGGGUCAGAGUGAUCUGAGACAGAGGGAGGCACACAGGAUGUGUCGGGAGAGGAGGAAGAGAUUGUUCAGGCAAGGGAUGGGCCAACAGACUCCUUGUCAUUCCCCACCCCACUGUUUCCUAGUACCAGCAGGGGUUUGAAGAGGGAACAGCAGUGAUACCUUUUAUGUAGGAGCCGCCUCAGGUUGCACAUACCCCAUCAGAUGAGGGUACAUAAGCGGGGGCAGGGGGGGCAUGGUCUCACUGUUGCUGUAAUUACUCCACAGGCACAGACUUGGAGAAAGCACCUAUAUCCACCACUGCCAUACUUGCUCACAAAUAAAAGCAAUUUUCACCUCUCUAUUCAGAACAGCAGGGAGGGAGGGUUCCAGUCCAAUGAAAUCUGGGCAUAUUUAAGGGGUCAUGUUCAAAUUAGGAGUGGCUGGACCAGUACAAACAGAAUUUGAGAAAGAAAAUGAAACAGUCUCUCAUGCUUCGUGGAUUUUUGAAGGGGUAUUUACUGAGACCUUUUUUGGGUAGGCAAACUGGUGCCUGUCAUUGCCAUGUUGACAGCCCUUGGCUUAGAGAAGAUAUAGGUUCAGUCACCAAGGGGAGGGGAGUGAGAAAACCAGGAGGAACUAAGUUUGCCACCAAGGGUGGAGUGCAAAAGAGGGUUCUGAGUUUUUAUGUCUGGUGAAGGAUUUUAAGUCUUCAGUAAUGCUAAGUGACUACCGCUGGUGGUGGCACUGCCAUCAGUUGCAGCGUGAAGCUUUCUUCACCUGGGCUUAAAGCAGACAAAUGAAAUUUGUCAAUAAAUUUGUGAGCAGAUAAAAACAAUAUUCCAAACCCCCAAACACAGAGAAAUAAAUCAAAUGGGCAUCUGUUAAGAUUAGGAAACUACUGAAGUUGUACCACUGUCAGCGCCAGAGAUGGGAGGAAGGGUUCUGAUGGACGUUUCAUUCCUGUCUCUUUAAUGACUACCAGAAAAUAAGCUAUGAAAGCCAUAAGACCAAAAUUAAGAACAGGCAUGACAAUUAGGCACUUCUGGCUUGCAGUAAAUGACUUGCUACUAAAACAUCCACAACAAAGCUAUUUACUAGUAUCCAAGGUUACAUCUAACACAAACUGCAUAACUAAAUGUCAGACUAAUUGUUUACGUGGAAAACGAUGUUUUCCUUUGAAUCCAAAAUGAAGGAAGUUCCAUCCGGAUUGCGUCACCAGUAUAGUAGCCUGACUGGCCAAAGGAAUAUAAAUGUACAAACAUCUUUGCUUAUUCUCUCUUUUCAUUUUUCUUCUUUUUAACUCUUAUUUUGCAUGUACUCCAGAUCUAACAAAGUGCGCUCAUUGCAAGCUCGUUCCAGGGUCAGACAUAUUGAGCAUGACUGGGCCAAUUUCCACCUCAUUACGGUAAUGUAAUUCCUCUGACUUAAGGGAGUUGCUCUUCUGCAUUCACAGUGGGGUAAUGGAAACGAGAAUGCUCUUGUCGGGAAGUAUUAUGGGGCCUCAACAGUGAUGUGGUUUCACGGAGUUUAGCCUGAAGAAAUUGAAGAAACAAAAGGAUCUAUUUAUGGCUGGAGCACUGCCUACUGCCUUGAAAAGAACAUGACCUGCUUGACCUAGUCCUUCACCUCUCAAAUAAACACUACAGUGUAUGUAAUGAUUGGCCAUUUUCUUCUGUCCUCCAUGAUUCUUCCCAGAGACUGUAUUGGAAGUUCAAGGGUCAAACAGUGCAAAGACCUAACACACAACAGUCCAGACUAUGGAAUGCUUCACAGAUAAUGCUUUACCUAUGGUGAGAUAAUCUCUACAAAGGGAGGGGUGUGUGGAGAGUGUACACUGUCUUUUGUUUAGCGUGUGUUGGGUUUUAAUUCUAAUCACAAGGACAUGGAUUGUGAUUCUGGCUUCCAGAGUCAUGUUUUUGCACCUAAAUUACCGGUAAUACUUCUUUCUAAAAAUAUACAGCAGUUAGUAAAUCAAUUUUAACUUCAUCACUGACAUUAUUUCUGUGCAAGAAAAUAACUUGUGUGAAGUGAGUCUUAUAUGUACUGUAUCCACUAAUGUGUUUGGUUUCUUAAAAUGACACUGAUCGUAUUGAAAUGCAUACAGCAAAAAUGCAAAGCAGGUUAGUAUCAGACCAAAAUCCAUUACUGAGGAACACGGAAAGCUGCUAGAAACUUAAUGGUGAGGUUUUAGGAAUGAGGACAAUUCUUUAACACUUUUCUACAUUUAAGAGCUAUCAGAUGCUGGGAACAUACACAAUUUCUGCUCUGUAUUACGUUAAAACAUUCUCUGGGAAAAAUUAUUGAAGCACAUGUUCCAAAACAAUCCGUCUGCUGGCUAUGGUGCUCAUGUUGGACAUCUUUUCGUCUACGUUACAGGAACACAGAUGGCUUUUUUCAUCAUAAGACACUUGAUUGGAAAAUGUGAACAGUUGAAAUAUUUUAAAUGCUGUCCAAAUAGAUAUUGUCUCCCAGUCCUCAUGAUUCUGUGGCACCACUAAAGAACUUAAAAUGUCCCCAUUAGAAUUCUACAACUUCUAGAAACGUAGGUACUUUGUACAACCCUGAAUUUGAAAGCUUUUUACUACAUAUAAAUGGUAGUAAUGGGCUAGUUUUACUCUAUGGGUAGCAUUCAGAAUUUAGCAUGAAUGGUGGCAGCAGAAACAGAAAACCAGCCAUCAAUAUAAAACUACUCUGUUGUGAAAAGUA